UAAGGAAUAUUGGUCAAUGGGCGGAAGCCUGAACCAGCCAUGCCGCGUGCAGGAAGACGGCCCUACGGGUUGUAAACUGCUUUUGCAGGGGAAUAAACCCUGGUAUGUAUACCAGGCUGAAUGUACUCUGAGAAUAAGGAUCGGCUAACUCCGUGCCAGCAGCCGCGGUAAUACGGAGGAUCCAAGCGUUAUCCGGAUUUAUUGGGUUUAAAGGGUGCGUAGGCGGCCUAUUAAGUCAGGGGUGAAAGACGGUAGCUUAACUAUCGCAGUGCCUUUGAUACUGAUGGGCUUGAAUGGACUAGAGGUAGGCGGAAUGUGACAAGUAGCGGUGAAAUGCAUAGAUAUGUCACAGAACACCAAUUGCGAAGGCAGCUUACUAUGGUUUAAUUGACGCUGAGGCACGAAAGCGUGGGGAUCAAAC
rnacentral:rRNA from 1 species